ACGGAGGAUCCGGGCGUUAUCCGGAAUUACUGGGUUUAAAGGGUGCGUAGGCGGGGCUUUAAGCCGGCGGUGAAAUGCAGCGGCUCAACCGCUGGAAUGCCGUUGGGACUGGGGCUCUUGGAUACGGUCGGGGCGGGUGGAACUCGUGGUGUAGCGGUGAAAUGCAUAGAUAUCACGAGGAACGCCGGUAGCGAAGGCAGCUCGCCGGGCCGGUAUUGACGCUGAGGCACGAAAGCGUGGGGAUCGAACAG
rnacentral:rRNA from 1 species